UACGUAGGGCGCAAGCGUUAUCCGGAAUUAUUGGGCGUAAAGAGCUCGUAGGUGGUUUGUCGCGUUGUUCGUGAAAACUCACAGCUUAACUGUGGGCGUGCGGGCGAUACGGGCAGACUAGAGUACUGCAGGGGAGACUGGAAUUCCUGGUGUAGCGGUGGAAUGCGCAGAUAUCAGGAGGAACACCGGUGGCGAAGGCGGGUCUCUGGGCAGUAACUGACGCUGAGGAGCGAAAGCGUGGGGAGCGAACAGG
rnacentral:rRNA from 1 species